CACCUACUCCUACGGGAGGCAGCAGUGGGGAAUAUUGCACAAUGGGCGAAAGCCUGAUGGCAGCGACGCCGCGUGAGGGAUGACGGCCUUCGGGUUGUAAACCUCUUUCAGUAGGGAAGAAGCCCUCUUUGGGGGUGACGGUACUUGCAGAAGAAGCGCCGGCUAACUACGUGCCAGCAGCCGCGGUAAUACGUAGGGUGCAAGCGUCAUCCGGAAUUAUUGGGCGUAAAGAGCUCGUAGGCGGUUUGUCGCGUCUGCUGUGAAAGACCGGGGCUCAACUCCGGUUCUGCAGUGGGUACGGGCAGACUAGAGUGCAGUAGGGGAGACUGGAAUUCCUGGUGUAGCGGUGAAAUGCGCAGAUAUCAGGAGGAACACCGAUGGCGAAGGCAGGUCUCUGGGCUGUAACUGACGCUGAGGAGCGAAAGCAUGGGGAGCGAACAGGAUUAGAUACCCUGGUAGUCCAUGCCGUAAACGUUGGGCACUAGGUGUGGGGGACAUUCCACGUUUUCCGCGCCGUAGCUAACGCAUUAAGUGCCCCGCCUGGGGAGUACGGCCGCAAGGCUAAAACUCAAAGGAAUUGACGGGGGCCCGCACAAGCGGCGGAGCAUGCGGAUUAAUUCGAUGCAACGCGAAGAACCUUACCAAGGCUUGACAUGGACCGGAAAGACCCUGAAACCAGGU
rnacentral:rRNA from 1 species